rnacentral:rRNA from 1 species
UUAAAUGGCCGCGGUAUUUUGACCGUGCUAAGGUAGCAUAAUCAUUAGUUUUUUUAUUGAAAGCUGGAAUGAAGGGUUGGAUGAAAAAAUAGCUGUCUCUAUUGAAUUAUAUUAGAAUUUUAUUUUUAAGUUAAAAAGCUUAAAUUUUUUUAAAAGACGAGAAGACCCUAUAGAGUUUUAUAUUUAAUAUAAAAAUAUUUUUUUAGUAUUAAUUUAAUAUUUUUUAUUAAUUAUUUGAUUGGGGUGAUUAAAAAAUUUAAUAAACUUUUUUUAUAUAUUUAUAUUAAUUUAUAUAUAGUUGAUCCAAUAUUUUUGAUUAUAAGAAAAAAUUACCUUAGGGAUAACAGCGUAAUUUUAUUAGAGAGUU